CACUGUUCGAUUCUCGGGUAGA
rnacentral:miRNA from 1 species